rnacentral:lncRNA from 1 species
CUUUUUUUAAAUUUUCUAUUCCAAAGAAUUCCAUUUUAAAUUAGUUAUAUCAAGGCUUUUGUUAAGCAGGCUGUUUUAUAGACAAGGCAGCCUCAGGGCUUGCUUUUCAAACUUUGUGUCUCUCUGCAAAUUGUGUUUUGAUGCCAGUGGAAGUUUGUGUACAGGGGGCUUUCAGGGUCAAAUUCAGUUCUUGGCAGAGGCAGGUGGUUCAGCAAGAAUCAGCAGGGAGACUGCUUUGGAAGUCUUUUCAUAUGCGUCUGGGAGACGACUGUGAUUACCAGGAGCUCUAACAUUACUGUAUGUAAACAAAUUUCCUUUAAUCCCACAUAUUUCAACAGUGUGUUGUACUGUAAUGGUGAUUAUCU